CGAAGAAAACGAAGAAGGCGAAGGCCGACCCAAGAGAGGACGCUGACAAGGGCAGCGGGGAGUAGUUUGUGCAAUUAUAUGAAAGUACAACGGCAUUACGAAUACGAAACGAAUUAAAUAUCUCAAUAACACAAAAGCCAACUUAAACAUAAACAACAGCCAAUGUCAAUGUGGAAGAAAGGAACUGAAAUAAAAGUUUAAUUGCAACACUGUAGAGCAAAGCAAACAGCAAACGCAAAAUUCGCAAAAGUUGACGGAGAAGAGGCGCAAAAGAAAGUACGAAAAGACAAUAAAACCAGCUAAAGAAACAACAAAAAAAAAGCAGUGGAAAAAUAAAUACGAAAAGAAGCCACAAGCAAAGAAACGACGAGUAAGGAAAAUUUGUGCUGCGGAGGCAGCAACUUUAGCAACAAAUCAAAAACACUCACUACACGCACACACACACACGCGCGCACACACACACACAUACACUGGGCCCACACACAAGCACACAUACAGAGAGAAAUAAAAUGUGCGCUGGCAUUUAUGCGAAAAAAUAAAGUGGAAACGAAAACAACAACAAAAAUGCAAGAGAGUCAAGGCGCAGAAAAUUAAUAAACUUUUGCUAACUGUAACGGCAAAUGAACAACAGCAACAACAACAGCAACAACGACGAGAGUCAGCAAAAGGGAGAGCAACAACUACAGCAACAACAACAACACGAGCAGCAACAACAGAAUUAACAGUCAAAAGGAAACCUCCUUUGCAAGCGGAAACUCAUUUGCCAACAGUUUGAAACCAACAUCCGGCAUUGCGACGACGCUGACGUUAGCGCCGACAAUUCCCUCUCGCUCGCGCUCUCUGUCUCUCUCUCUCUCUCUCUCUCUCUCUGUCUCGCUCGUUCUCUUACUCAGAGAAGACCCAGGACGUGAAAAAAGUAGAGAAAUAGAAAAAUAGGAGCAGAAAUAUACAAAAAGGCAAUAAAAUAAAAAGAAAUACCAAAGCUGUGCGCAACAUUCAAACGAAAAAUUGUCGCAAAAUUAAAAGCUAACAAAUUAAUUAAGGCCGAGGAACGAGCUCCGAGCACCGAGAACCAAGAACCAAGCAGCGACAGGAAGCGCGCAGUUAGCUGCGCUGAAAAUUUACAGUUAUCGCCACUGGCCUGUGUGUAUGUGUGUGCUCAUGGGUGUUAACUUAUUUUCGCAUUUGCGUUGUUGUGACAAAAUUCAAAGCAUAACGACAGGCGCUACAUAUUAUUACUGAGGCGCAGGAAUUUCCAUACAAUUUCACACGCACAACAACAACAACUACAACAGCAACAACAACAACAACAGGAGCAACGAUAACAGCGCAUAAACUUGUAUUUGGAUAUUGCCAACAGCAGCAAAAACAAAAACAAAAGCAAAAAAGAAACAAUUUUAGCUUGAACUGGGCAGAAGGAAAAGCGGGGAAAGCGUCAGCAAAUCGUAACGAAAAACGACGGCAACAACAUCUGCAUACGCGCUCACGUUCGGAAUCUCGAAUUCACGUUGCUUUUACCCCCUUUCUUCAAAAAAGCCCCCUUCACUUUUCAGUCCACGUCAAUAUCAAAUAUUCAAAAGUGGCGCUUUGUCUUUUUUUUUGCGCGCCACGCCAAUACAGCGACACAUACAUACAUACAUCCAAACAUACAUACAUACACACAUACAUACAUACGCACAAGCGUAGACACACACGCUCAAACAAAAGCGCACACUCCUAGUGGGAAGGAAGCGUCGAACGAAGGAACAACGGCAUCGUCCAGCGGCCUGUCACAACUUCAGAACUCUAGUUUAACGUCUGUGUGUGUGCGUGUGCAUGUGUGUGUGUGCGUGUAUGUGUGCGCACGUGCCAGUGCAUGCUCAGAGUCUAUUGCAAUAAAAGGGCUCCCUUCCGGAAACACUCACUUCACCAUCCAAAGCAAGAAGCUACAAUUUUAGCAACAGUUUCAAGCUGGACUUCGAGAACAAAUAAAGUGCGAUCGACCAAGAAUUCUAGGGUCCACCAGCUUCAGAGGCCAUUGAGAUGUGUAUUUUCUGUUGCAUGUCGAUUGGACAAUGAACUAGCUGGCCGGUACUCGAUGGCUAAUAGAAGAACUGCUACGGCUUUGCGGCAACAAAAUUGAAAAGGUGGCAAGAACUUGAUGCCAACGACCACAACGACAACAACGACGAAGCUGGGCCGGAGCAGAAAACGAAAGAAAUUGAGCAAAAAUGAAACAUUCACAUAUUUCCAUACACAAGGAUAUGAUGGAAUUUGGCUAACUGCGCCCAGAAAAUGCGCAUGAGAUACUAAAGCCAGGAGCGGCAACAACUUCUCAACGAAAAGUAAACUAAAUAGCAUUUGAAUUUAUUUAGUGCAGAGGCCAAACAAAAGAAUAGAUACAAGUAAGAAGAAGGAAAAAACCAAAAACAAAAACAAAUAAUCUCUUAGAAAUAUAAGCGCCAAGUUGAGGUUGCGCAACAAACCGCUCACAAGCUCACAAGCGAGAGGAGCGGGAGGAGCGGAAGUAGCAGGAGGGCGUCCCCGUUGCAAGUGCCAAAAAGCGCCGCAGCAAUCAAAAGUUCGGGGCGCCACAGAGUCCAAAGACCAAGCCCGGAAAGGCGCGCGCGCCUAGCCUUGCGUGCUUGUUGCUGGCCAACGAUUGAAAGCGGCCUGCGCACACGCAGCGGCAGCGCGCACAAGCGAACCAGACAGAAAGAAAGAGAGGCA